rnacentral:rRNA from 1 species
UACGGAGGGCGCUAGCGUUGUUCGGAUCUACUGGGCGUAAAGCGCACGUAGGCGGCUCGAUAAGUCUGCUGUGAAAGUCCAGGGCUCAACCCUGGGAUGCCGGUGGAUACUGUCGAGCUCGAGUCCGGAAGAGGCGAGUGGAAUUCCUGGUGUAGCGGUGAAAUGCGCAGAGAUCAGGAGGAACACCUGUGGUGUAGACAGCUUACUGGACGAUAACUGACGCUGAGGCACGAAAGCGUGGGUAGCAAACAGG